GUGUUCAUAGAAAGGAGAGAUGGUUGGCAUCCUCCUUACAAGGACGUGAACAGCCUUUGGGCUUUACCUGUUUACUACCUCCUUUAUAAUUAUUACAUCAUCGUGGUUGAGUAUCAAUGAAUAUUUUGA
rfam:Nicotiana sylvestris Nsyl_contig52503, whole genome shotgun sequence.